GCAACGCCUGCCCAGUGAACAAUUAAACGGCCGCGGUACCCUAACCGUGCAAAGGUAGCAUAAUCAUUUGUCUACUAAUUAUAGACCUGUAUGAAAGGCAAAAUGAGGGUUCAACUGUCUCUUGUAAUAAAUCAAUUAAACUGAUCUUCUAGUAAAAAAGCUAGAAUACCACCAUAAGACCAGAAGACCCUGUGAAGCUUCAAUAAAACUAUUAAACCCAAUAAUAGCUAAUUUAGGUUGGGGCGACCGUGGAAAUAAAAAGAACUUCCAAAAAUGACUUACCUCACACUAAUAGGCAAACAAGCCAACAAACGACCCAGCACAGCUGACAAACGAACUAAGUUACUCCAGGGAUAACAGCGCAAUCUUCUUCAAGAGCCCAUAUCAAAAAGAAGGUUUACGACCUCGAUGUUGGAUCAGGACAUCCUAAUGGUGCAACCGCUAUUAAGGGUUCGUUUGUUCAACGAUUAACAGUCCUACGUGAUCUGAGU
rnacentral:rRNA from 1 species